UGGAUUUGGGAAAGGUAGCGGGCUUCUCAUCCAAUGAGGGCAGGCUGUGAGUUGCCGAAACGGAAGGGGCCUCUGUUUUUACAGAAGGUGGGGCCUCCGUUGCCAUUGAGGAGGGGUCUUUUGUUUCUAAGGAAGUUGGGGCCUCGGUUUCUACAGCCGGCAGAGCCUUUGUUGCCAGGGAGCCUGAGACCUCUGAUACCAAGAAGGAAGGAACCUCUGUGGCCACGGGAGAAGGAAUACCCAUUUCCCUGGAGUCUGAGGCUUCAGUUGCCAGGGAGGAUGGUGCCUCAGUUACCAGGCUGGGCAAAUCUGGAGCAUCUUCUGAGCUUCCGACGGGUUCUGAUAAGGGAGACGAGAGCUGGCAUCAGUGCUGCCAGCAGGACCCCACAUUCCUCACCCCACUGCAGCCAAGGCCCAGUCUGCUCAGGAAUCGCUGCUUAAACCGGCUGAGGGUCCACCAGAUACCACUGAGCAUCUUACAGCAUUUGGGAGAAGGAGUGGGGACCUUGUGGCCUCAAGGCAGCAUGUGGCCCUCCAGAUCACCAAGUGCAGCCCUCGAUGAUGGAGUCCAAACUUCA